rnacentral:lncRNA from 1 species
AUGACGCUGAAGGGCCGAGCGUCCCGCUUGCUGACUCACCGGUGGAUUUUUGCUUCUGGUCACUACUCGGCUCCUGUGUCCGGUCCAGCAAGAGGCCUCUUACCCACGGCGGCGGUCCCGAGGCCCCACCGACUUCUUCCAGCGUGUCCGGAUGUGGCUAACCCUUGGCGAGCAGGGGCUCUCUGUGAGGCAGCGGCACUCCCGGGAUCUCAGGAGUUCGAGGGUGGCACUGGCCGCUGCUGCACGCGUUUGAGCUGUGGGCAGCGUGUGCCGAGACUAUGGAGGGCUGAGACAGUGAGGUCAGGGCGUUCACGUGGGCAGCCUCUCCGUGGGUGUUAAAAAUAAAAAAGGAAAAAGAAUGAACUCA